CAGUUUUUUAGACUUGGAGAUUUUUAUUCACAAUGACAGAAUCAAUACCCGUACGCACUUUAAACAAGUAGAUGUGAAUAGCUACGUUGAAAUAGACAGGUGCCAUCAUUUUCCUUGGUUAAAAAAUAUACCCAAAUGGCAAUUUUUAAGACUUUGUAGGAACUGUUCUGAACAGUCAGUUUUUAGAAAUCAAGCUAACGCUUUGAAAGAGCAGUUUAAACAAAAGGGAUAUUUCAAGGAAAAAUUACAACAGGAGAUUAAUC